rnacentral:rRNA from 1 species
CCUACGGGAGGCUGCAGUGGGGGAUAUUGGACAAUGGGGGGAACCCUGAUCCAGCGACGCCGCGUGAGUGAAGAAGUAUUUCGGUAUGUAAAGCUCUGUCAGCAGGGAAGAAAGAAAUGACGGUACCUGACCAAGAAGCCCCGGCUAACUACGUGCCAGCAGCCGCGGUAAUACGUAGGGGGCAAGCGUUAUCCGGAAUUACUGGGUGUAAAGGGAGCGUAGACGGUUAAGUAAGUCAGCGGUAAAAUUGCGGGGCUCAACCCCGUCGAGCCGUUGAAACUGGCAGACUUGAGUUGGCGAGAAGUACGCGGAAUGCGCGGUGUAGCGGUGAAAUGCAUAGAUAUCGCGCAGAACUCCGAUUGCGAAGGCAGCGUACCGGCGCCAGACUGACGCUGAGGCACGAAAGCGUGGGGAUCGAACAGGAUUAGAUACCCCAGUAGUC